rnacentral:rRNA from 1 species
CUAAGAAUCUUGCGCAAUGGGCGAAAGCCUGACGCAGCAACUCCGCGUGGGGGACGAAGGCCCUCGGGUCGUAAACCCCUUUUGUGAGGGAAGAAGUUCUGACGGUACCUCACGAAUAAGACACGGCUAACUACGUGCCAGCAGCCGCGGUAAUACGUAGGUGUCGAGCGUUGUCCGGAUUUACUGGGUGUAAAGGGCGCGCAGGCGGGAUAAAAAGUCAGUGGUGAAAUCCUACAGCUUAACUGUAGAACUGCCUUUGAUACUUUUAUUCUUGAGUUCGGGAGAGAGACGGAAUUCCAGGUGUAGUGGUGAAAUACGUAGAUAUCUGGAAGAACACCAGUUGCGAAGGCGGUCUCUUGGUCCGACACUGACGCUGAGGCGCGAAAGCGUGGGGAGCAAACA